AACGAACGCUGGCGGCAGGCUUAACACAUGCAAGUCGAGCGCCCCGCAAGGGGAGCGGCAGACGGGUGAGUAACGCGUGGGAAUCUACCCAUCUCUACGGAAUAACCCAUGGAAACGUGUGCUAAUACCGUAUAUGUCCGUCGGGAGCAAGAUUUAUCGGAGAUGGAUGAGCCCGCGUUGGAUUAGCUAGUUGGUGGGGUAAAGGCCUACCAAGGCGACGAUCCAUAGCUGGUCUGAGAGGAUGAUCAGCACACUGGGACUGAGACACGGCCCAGACUCCUACGGGAGGCAGCAGUGGGGAAUAUUGGACAAUGGGCGCAAGCCUGAUCCAGCCAUGCCGCGUGAGUGAUGAAGGCCCUAGGGUUGUAAAGCUCUUUCACCGGUGAAGAUAAUGACGGUAACCGGAGAAGAAGCCCCGGCUAACUUCGUGCCAGCCGCCGCGGUAAGAC
rnacentral:rRNA from 1 species